rnacentral:rRNA from 1 species
CCUACGGGGGGCAGCAGUGGGGAAUAUUGGACAAUGGGCGAAAGCCUGAUCCAGCCAUGCCGCGUGUGUGAAGAAGGCCUUCGGGUUGUAAAGCACUUUCAGUGGGGAAGAAAGCCUUGGGGCUAAUACCCUCGAGGAAGGACAUCACCCACAGAAGAAGCACCGGCUAACUCCGUGCCAGCAGCCGCGGUAAUACGGAGGGUGCGAGCGUUAAUCGGAAUUACUGGGCGUAAAGCGCGCGUAGGCGGUCUGAUAAGCGGUUGUGAAAGCCCCGGGCUCAACCUGGGAACGGCAUCCGGAACUGGCAGGCUAGAGUGCAGGAGAGGAAGGUAGAAAUCCCGGGGUAGCGGGUGAAUGCGUAGAGAUCGGGAGGAAUACCAGUGGCGAAGGCGGCCUUCUGGACUGACACUGACGCUGAGGUGCGAAAGCGUGGGUAGCAAACAGGAUUAGAUACCCUAGUAGUUC